UACAGAGGUCCCAAGCGUUGUUCGGAUUCAUUGGGCGUAAAGGGUGCGUAGGCGGCGCGGUAAGUCGGGUGUGAAAGCCCUGGGCUCAACCCAGGAUGUGCACUUGAUACUGCACGGCUAGAGUGUCGGAGAGGAUGGUGGAAUUCCCAGUGUAGAGGUGAAAUUCGUAGAUAUACGGAGGAACACCUGCGGCGAAGGCGGGUAGCUGGGCCAACACUGACGCUGAUGCGCGAAAGCGUGGGGAGCAAACAGG
rnacentral:rRNA from 1 species